rnacentral:misc_RNA from 1 species
GGGUUCCAUGUCUUCAUACAAUGAGUUCUUGAGCCAUUGGAGACAGUUUUGCGGCUCCAUGCAGUAGAUUCAUUUGCAGGGAACAGUUGCUUUGUUGUGUUGGCUUUUAGGCCGCUGUAACCAGACCCAGCAACCAGAGCUGUAAAGAUCCCGGCGGCCGACAUCUUCUUGAACGAUACCAAGGAAAGAGAGAGGCAGAAGAGUAGAAGGACAACUGAUCUUAGUAGUUUUACUUGAAACUGUGACAGAAAUGGUUCAGGAAAAGGACAAAAGGGGCUGGCUUGGGUGUUUGUGAGAUGCUAAGCUUAGUGGAU